AAGGAUAUGUUAGUGUUGAAGCAAAGAGAGCUCGUCAUCGAGCAAGCUCUUUAUGAUGCCGGCCUAAGUUCGGUUCCCCACUUAGAUACAGUUCGGUCUAUCGGUCGUCUUUUGACUUUUUCAUCUAUCUUCAAACUUGUGCUAAUCUUUCAUUGAAAUUGCAGGCAUACCAUCGAGAGUAAGACUAACAGAUGCCGACAUUCGAUAGCACGC
rnacentral:lncRNA from 1 species